UCCCUCGUGGCGCAAUUGGCUAGCGCGUAAGUUACUCUACAACAUCAUCUGUCUUAAACAACAUGGUUUCUGACAUUCAUCUAGGUUCGACUGUUAUACAACAGGUUUCAUCGAGAGGUUGGUGGUUCAAGCCCACCCGAGGGAG